rnacentral:rRNA from 1 species
UUCCUACGGGAGGCAGCAGUGGGGAAUUUUCCGCAAUGGGCGAAAGCCUGACGGAGCAAUACCGCGUGAGGGAGGAAGGCUCUUGGGUCGUAAACCUCUUUUCUGUGGGAAGAAUAAAUGACGGUACCACAGGAAUCAGCAUCGGCUAACUCCGUGCCAGCAGCCGCGGUAAUACGGAGGAUGCAAGCGUUAUCCGGAAUCAUUGGGCGUAAAGCGUCCGUAGGUGGCUAUUCAAGUCUGCCGUCAAAGACUGGGGCUUAACCCCGGAAAGGCGGUGGAAACUGAAUAACUAGAGUGCGGUAGGGGUAGAGGGAAUUCCCAGUGUAGCGGUGAAAUGCGUAGAGAUUGGGAAGAACACCGGUGGCGAAAGCGCUCUACUGGGCCUGCACUGACACUGAGGGACGAAAGCUAGGGGAGCGAAAGGGAUUAGAUACCCCUGUAGUCCUAGCCGUAAACGAUGGAUACUAGGUGUUGGCAGUAUCGACCCUGCCAGUACCGGAGCUAACGCGUUAAGUAUCCCGCCUGGGGAGUACGCACGCAAGUGUGAAACUCAAAUGAAUUGACGG